GUGACACCCUUGGAAUGGGCACGCUCAAAGCGUCGCAGGCACUGGCCCGUCUGGAUCUUCCACACCUGCGCAGCGACACAUUCAGCUAACUCGACGACGGCAAGAUCAUUUGUCAGGUUUCUGCUGCACCGCCGGACGAUGACUCCGAGUCGGAAGAUGACGCACCAUGUGCUACGCUGCCGUCGCAUGCGGAGCGUGUACAAGCAGUGACUGUGCUUUCAGCUAAUAGUGACCGUACGACCCUCUCCGAGAUUCAGGCUUAUCUGAUUGCGCGUAAACGGAACAGCGUGCAACGGCGCAUUCACGAUUUCUUCCAAGCCUACUGCCGAGCCCGAAUAAGUGCGUGGAAAUAAAGGAUUUCAUUUUUU